AGGCAGCAAAAGGAAAAAAAGAAAAACCCUGAACAGAUAAGGAACGUUUCCACAAGCAGGAACAAGUCGUUCUGAAUUUCUCCCUUCUUUGGUUUGCUGCUUCUGACGUCUGCGUGGUGUCAGAUUGGAGAUAAUAACUGUAACUGCUUUAAAGUUGACCAGGAGGAUUUGGAUGUAAAACAGCAUGAACUUUGGAAAGGAAUCCCAGUUUAGUGCAUCAUUGUAUCAAAGAAAAUGAGUCUUUUCUUGUUCUCCAAAAGCUCCUGCACAGGUGUGCUGAACGGCUGCAAACCCAAGGAUAAACAGGAGAAAUGCUGAGUAAGCACAGACAACAGCUACUAUGUCUUUGCUAAACAUCUUCAAGGUCUCUUUGGAGGGAUAAAUGCUCAGCAGGCGCGGCGUUCCCAGGAGACAUGGGUCUGGACGCAGACAGCCUGCAGGUCCCAGCAUGCAGUGAGGCAGCAGCGGCCGUUGCACUCGCUGUUCCUUUUUCCUAUGCAUAUACUUCUUUGACAUGUAACUUUAAAGAGGCAUAAGGCAUGGGAAAAUGGGGCUGCAGAGGUUUUCCACAGAGCGGACCAAAGCGCCUGCAGACUCUGAGCACCGCUGUCCUGCUCACAUCACAGAGGAGAAAGUACAGAAUAAGACUCAAAGGUGAUUUAUCCUUUGUGGUGAUUCAUUAAUUUGAUAUUUUUAAUGUAAUGAAUCAGUUAAAUCUUCAGGCAUUGCAAAUACUGACAUAUAUGUUUUAUUAUUGUCAUAUUUGUUUUUUUCUCUGAUCUUUUCAUUAAUAAAAACAUGUUUUUGAUUAUAAAAAAA